rnacentral:lncRNA from 1 species
AUGUACACUCUUUAUUCUUUGCUCGUCACUUUCAGAAUGAUAACAAUCUAUGUGUACUCUUGUCUUCUUUCUGCUCUGAGUGUUGUGGUGGUGAAACCGCUCAACAUAGAUGGACGUAUUGGAACAAAUGUUACAUUCAAAUGCUCCGACUGGAACGUUUGGACUGAUGUAAAAUAUAAUGUAAAGUAUCUUUGUGCUGAUCCAUGCUCAAGAGUCAUCAUCAAAGCAGCAUUUAAAGAGACUGUACGUAAGAAUAGAAUAGAGUUAACUAACAGUGCAGAAGGUUUAUUUGUGACCUUCAUUCAUCUCCGAAAGUCAGACUCUAAGAAAUAUUAUUGUGCAGUGGAGAGACCUGGCCCAGAUUCAUAUAUAGAGGUGAAUCUUAAAGUCAUAGAUGCUGAGUCUUCCACUCCCAAGACAACUCCAAAAUCAUUUGCUGUUACAAAGAGCUCCACAGUGUCUUCAAGCAGCUCAGACAGUAUUACUGAUCUGUCUGCGUCAUAUACGACCCUUUAUACAACACCUACUGCUGAGUCUUCCACUCCCAAGACAACUCCAAAAUCAUUUGCUGUUACAAAGAGCUCCACAGUGUCUUCAAGCAGCUCAGACAGUAUUACUGAUCUGUCACCUACUGCUGGAAAUUCACUUUAUUGGCUUCUGGUUUUACCUUUUAUAAUCUUUGGAGUGCUUGUACUGAUGCUUACCAGGAAGAUGAUGAAGAAACAACCGAUGGUUGUUACCCCACCAGAAGAUGCAGGAGAGAGUGCAGGUCCUGAUGGAGUCUACCGAUCACUCCACCCAGUUACGAUGGAUGAAGACCAGGUCUAUAGCACUGUCUCACCCACCAGAGGCGUCUGUGACUCCACAGCUAAGUCACAGAUUUGA